UUACGGCCACAUCAUGUUGAAACACCCGUUCUCGUACAAUCACCAAAGUUAAGCAAUGUCAAGCCUGAUCAUUACCUAGAUGGAUGACCACUUGGGAAUACUAGGUGCUGUAA